rnacentral:lncRNA from 1 species
UGCUAAAAUAAUGGACUUUGGAACUGUCUGUCUGAGAAGAUGGCUGUCUUUGGAAUGUUCCACCAAACAUGGGGAGGGGGAGGGGUGGGAACGUGCCACUGUGGCAGUUUACCUGGGGGGGGGGUGGACAAAUGGACUCUCCCUCUCUCUGUACUCCUCUGGUGAACUUAUCACUCUGCUGUGGCUAACAGGAUGACUAACUCUCCACUGUGGCCACAGGUGCCAAGAACGCAGGAGCACUUGUAGCACAAUUGUGUCUUUUUUUCCUUCAGUAUGGAUUUUUUUCUCUCCUCCUAGCCAAUAUCUACCGCUUUUGCUCAUAUACCUUAUGUAUCAUAAGCCUAUAUACAAGACAACGUCAUAUAAAGAAAUGCAUUACUAUGACCCGUGGCUAUUUGUUGAAGUUUGAAAUUUGCCAAAGGUGAACGUUUUGUUGCAUUUUUCUCUCAAACUGCUAUGUUGUGUUCAAGAAGUGUCAACAAAAUCCCGUAUUUAUCGGUAUCAUUUUGGAAACCCUGCUCACGUGCCAUCUAAUCAAGCAAUAAAAACAAACAAACAAUGAGAUAACGAGAUAUAAUCGUAUAACUUAUUUUAUUAGCGCGAAAUGCUGCAUUGAUGUUAUAUCUGAUAUGCUGGUGACGGAGGGUCGGUCGCCGUGACGUUAUCACUGUUGGCAUGGCAACACAUCACCACUGACGAUAUGUAGAGGCCUGAAUAAGAGGUGUGAUUGUAUAAUGAUUAUUUUUGUAUUUUUCUUUGUAAGAGGUUUCAAAUUGUUUUUUGUUAACAUUUUUUUUUUUUUUACUUGAAGAUGAAUUCUACUGGUGUACCACUUGCAUUGUUUGUACAGGUGUUAUUGGGAGUAUUGGGGGGAGAAAAGUCCCUCCCAGCAGAGAGGUGAAAGAUGGCAGAGUUUCUGAAAGUGGUCUCUGUUUUCUAUCAGUCAUAUGAGCUUUAUUUAUCAGUCUAAAUCUUGUUUCUGAUUCUCUAGUAGUCAGGAGGAGUAUCACAGUAACUCAACUACAGCCAGGGGUUCGUCACUACUACUGAAAAUAAAAAUCAAUUAGCCCAUAUCAAAGUUUAAAACGCAAGCUGAAAAAAACCUAAAUUAAAAUCUUGUGUGAUUUCCAUGAAAGCGAUUAAAUGUUUUUUUUUUUAUAUAUACUAUCAACAAUUUAAUAAAGUUGUAAAGUGUAUUUUACUGUAAAUAGCAUCCACGAGGUAUUUUUUAUAAUCAUUUUUUAACAGAAAUACCUUAAUAUAACUUUUUUUACGAAGUUUACAAAAUCACACACACUUAAAAAAAUCUAUCCAAACUUGAGAUUCAAUUGGAAUGAUCUCUUCAACUCUCUCACUAAACUCACCAAGCCAGAGACCGUUGGUUCAUUUUCAACUUCUUUCAGAGACCGCUGCCAUCUUUCCCAGGACCAAGGUGCUGUGUGGUUUAACCUCAGUAGUCAGAGAGAAACCUACUGUUGUCCUGUUCUGAUGGAAAGGGAGUGGCCUGUCAGUGGCUGGAGAGCACCCAACACUGUAGCACAGUACUUAGUGGAUGUGUCCAAAAUGGCACUUUAUUCCCUAUGUAGCUAGUGCACUACUUUUGACCAUGGCUCAUAGGGGUAUGGUCAAAAGUAGUGCACUGAAUAGGGAAUAGGGUGCCAUUUCAGACUCAGCCAGUGUAUUCGCUAGCCCCACGUAUUCUCUCCGCUUUCAGAUCCCUAGCUGUCAUGGCCGUCUGUUGCUAGGAAACCAACCCACACAAAGCGCAGCAGGGAAAUGAUAUGCAGCCACACUGAGGGAGUGAGGAGGCAGGCAGGUCAACCAGCCGGGCCGCCCCUGAGGGAGAGGGGGAGGAGUGUGGGAGUGAGUGUGUGGCAAGGCUAAGGCUAUGGUUAAGAGGGGCGAGGCAACCUUGUAUAAGGAUGCCUUGGGUGCUUAAAGUAAACCACUGGGGAAGAAAAAUGAGGUAAAGAGUGACAGGGAAAAGACAGGGUUAUUACAGAGAAGAUGGAUCAGGGUGCGAUUGCACAGACAGUUAAGGGUCUGAGACUGAAGAGCAAAUGAGAAGAGGGGUAGGGGAACCCAAGGGAGAAGGCUUCAAUGGGCUCAAGGCCUUAGCAAGAGGUCAGCCAAGCAGAAAAGAGGUGAAAGGUGGUCACAAGGCAGAGGGAUUUGACCGUGGUUAAAAACGCGGUUAAGGCGUGGCCGGCUCAACCAGACCGUGUCUGACGUUACCUGAAUAGAGUGUAGCUGCAGUGAUGACCUGGUGUACCUUUCUGGGCUCAUAUUUACAAAGCGUCUCAGAGUAGGAAUGCUGAUCUGGGAUCAGUUUGACCUUUUAGAUCAUAAUGAAUAAGAUUUUAUGGACUGGGGGAAACCUGAUCCUAGAUCAGCACGCCUACUUUGAGACGCUUUAUGAAUACGGACUAUCCUUUCUGUUCCGCCUUCUGACGUUCCUUUCUUUUGACUGCUGUAUUAUUACUACUGAUUUACAAUUUUUUUGUUUUUGCCGAUCAAUGGGAACACUGUAAAGCUGUAAAGAUAAAGAUUUCCUGCAUUGUGAAAGAAAAAUGGAUGUACAUAUUGUAUCAAUUAAAACGACA